CGAAGAUCCUGAAUCCGGAUUCCUUGAAGUAUGACUUGGAUUAUUAACAUAUGGAUUGGCUGAGAUAGAGGUAUGAUUAGUAUUUUGUGAUUGAGAGUCAUUGGAAGGAGAAAUGCCAGGAGAACUUGGUUCCUUAUUAGAGGACAAGGAUUGUGAUGGGGAGCCAGUUUGCGAAGAUCCAGAAGAUAUGAGUGAUGGAUUGGAUGAGGCAACUAAGAUAAAUAUUAGCAAAUUGAACGAAUCAAAAAAGAAAAAGAAAAAUUGAGAACAUAGGAAAACUCAGUAUAGUAGAGAUAAAAAUAAAAAGAAUGAAUAAACAAAAGAAAAUAUACCUGAAGGCAUUGUAGCUAACAAUGAAGCAUCUUUAUGUGACAGAGGUGACUGGGAGUGUUGAAACACAUGAGGUUCUAAGCCUAAGGGCAACAAUUAGUAGAAUUCUAAGAGAAAGGAUCAAAAAUAGCAGAGAAAAAAGAGAGAACAAGCAAUCAAGACAUCACUCGCUACAGCCCGUAGAGGCAAAUAUUUCAAAUUAUUGACCAACUCUCUAUCCCCGCUUUAAUAGCCUGCAUACCAGGGAAAGCACUCAUUAACUUUUCAUCUAAGUUUUCUUCUAAAUCAGGACUCAGAUUAAUAAAUUCCGGUUUUCCACUAUACUCAUUGGAAGUAUGUGGAGGAUUUUCUGACGUUUUACUUGUUUGUCUAUCACUCGACACAUUUCGCACGGAAUUCCAAUUAUCCAUUAAUUAAAUAUCAAAGAGGUUCAAAGUAAUACUCCGAAUAAAUUGAACCUUUCAGAAAUUCGCACUGUGCCGAUUUAAUCGUUUCCUGAGGAUAUACGCUGAGAAAGGAUCAACGUCGACUACUAUUCAAGUAAGGAAACUGAACAUGCAACUUUGUGAAAUUCGUUGGAGUUCUCUAAACCCUUCGCUACACCAUCGUGUAUAUUAAUAGUUAAAACUAAAUAAAAAAAUAUAAUUUUAGUAGAUUUUUAAUUUUUUAAUUAUAUUGACAAUAAUAGAAGACUUAAGAAGCAUUUUUGGCGUGUGGGACUUGGUAUGCCAAAUGGCUUUCCAGCUGUAAACAAAAUGAUUCACCGUUUUUAGAUCGGAUCAAUCUUUUCACGAAUUCCGUUAGAAAAAAUUAAGAAUAAAAGGAUAUUAUACUCUUAUUUUUUUCUUCAUUCUCUUGUGAUUUUGAACCCAUCUCUUUUUCCUCAUACAUUAACCGGUCUUCAUAUUAACGUCUGUUAUUAGAUAGUAAACAUAAUUUAUACAUUGUUUUUUUUUUUUGAGAGUAAGCUGUGCACCAGUUCUAUGAACGGAGUAUUUUUAUUUAUUUUUUGCAGAAUGGAACAAAUUAAUCUAUAUACUAACUGUGGAAUGUAUGAAUCCUUUAGACAAAAU